rnacentral:rRNA from 1 species
UACAGAGGGGGCAAGCGUUGUCCGGAAUUACUGGGCGUAAAGGGCGCGUAGGCGGCCUGUUAAGUCGAACGUGAAAUCCCCGGGCUCAACCCGGGAACUGCGUCCGAUACUGGCAGGCUUGAAUCCGGGAGAGGGAUGCGGAAUUCCAGGUGUAGCGGUGAAAUGCGUAGAUAUCGGGAGGAACACCUGUGGCGAAGGCGGCCCCCUGGUUGGAUACUGACGCUGAGACGCGAAAGCGUGGGGAGCAAACAGG